rnacentral:rRNA from 1 species
UUGUUCUAAUAUUUACUUCUCGACGGACUGCUGCAAAUAGAAGCGACGAAGAACUGACAGCGUGAUCGUUGGAAGGACACAGGGAGUAGGUUGUGUUUCGGUUCGUGGUUUAUAAACCCUCGUGAACACCUACACAGUUUCAGUUUUCUAGAACUAACCACGAGAAAACAGGUAUGUACCUUAUAGCGGAUACAGUUCUUCAUGGUUUGUCUGUUCGACUUCGUCUUUGCCUAUUGUUGGUGAAACCCUCCGACGUAAAUAGUCGAUCGUCAAGCCACAGAUCUGAAGUUGUUAAAACCUAGUUAUUGUUAAGGUGGUCGUGAUGGGUCCCAAACAAAAAGCUUUCCUGUUUGGUAAUUUGUAAAGUCACUAUACGAUUAACCCUUUCUACCUAAUAUACCUCGAGAAGUUUAUUUUCUACUCCGUCUUUGAACGAUACAUCUUCGACUGCCACGUACCCGUUCGUGGCGGUUCUUGAGUUUGUAGGUUUUUCGAGAUGUUUCCCAGAAUCCGUUGAGAAAAAGUCUAUUCUAGUUUCUUCUAUAUAAGGAGUUAAAGGUCCUCGCACAUUUUCUAGUUUUGGACUGGUGAACAGACUAUCGUUUUGUUCACAACGACCUAUGAAACUUGUAACAGAGAAGAAGAAAAUUACCGAGAGUUGUAUGUCUCUUCAAUCUCAGUAGGCUCGUGAACAUGUACGGUAGGCUGUUUCUAUUACCCAGACAGUCAUGAUAAUCUCAACUAAGAUUACCCCUAACUUUAACCGUCACUAGCUUCUCCGUCCUUCUUCUCUUACUUCUGCUCAUGUGUCGUCAGUUAUUGAAGUUGUUCAUUCCUACAUAACAACGUUCUAUUUUAUUUCGUUUCGUGUGGACUUCAACUGUGUGUUCCUCAGUUUCGACUUAACGUUGGUCAUGGUACCUUACCAGGAUAUUUACUCGUGUUUGUAGUUCUACUUUACCUUCAUUUAAGACUUUAACCAUUUCCUACAUGUAUAUAUCAACCUGUUGGCCACGCACGACUUACGUAACGUGACGUUGUUCUACGGGCGCUCCCUCUUUCGUACUUGUUCCAACCGGGACGAUUUGUGUUGGUUCUGUGUUUAUACAACCUACCUGUAUCGUUGUAGGAGCUCGCGUCACAGUUACGAACAGGAUAACUUUAUCUUCGUGGUGUCUUUUCGUGAUCGGACUUGAUGUACGAUAAUAGUCGAUCUAACCGUUUUCGUCACUACUCGUGCUGUGUUCAAUUGUUAAGUUUCCUUCAUAGGUGGUCUCUACAUGUCUGUUGUAAGUGUCCCAAUGUUGUAUUAUGACAAUUGUUGUUAUUUUGUGUCUGCUAUUCGUUGUUGUACAGUUUCUCAAUGUCCUGUGAAACGUAGGUAAUCUAUAACGUUCCGUUUUCAUGAAGAAGCGUCUACUACGCUGUGGAUCGACGUCUUAAGAAGGUCUGGUACUACUAACACCCUUAGUUUAUUAUCUCGGUCUUAACACCGCGGGUAAUCUCUACUUGAGCCUUCUUAUAUUAAGAGUUUAUCUCCUUCGUUUCUUUUUUAUAGGUACGUUAUGUUCGUUCCUACUCGUUCUUCUCGUUCCUCUAAGGAGGUAUGUCACACGCGUCUCUGUUGGGCACAGGUGUCCGUAAACGUUCAUGUCUCUGAAAGAAGGUGUCAAACUUCUUUUCCUACCGUAGUAGCUGAACUGUAGCGGACAACGUGCGUACAGUGUGUGAACCCUAUCUCGUUGUUGUCCGAUGAGGGGUUACCCGUUUACCUUGUUACUCUUGCGACUUUCAGGAUGUGUUUUCGUGUUCUUCUCUAUAAGUUGUUGUCGUUAAAAUCCCUUCUCCGAAAAAAGUCUACUCAAACUACUUUUACUACUUGUUCUUCCGUGAUUUGUGGUUGGUUAGGGACACAGAGGCCUACAAGUUCAAAACCCCCUCUCUAGUAAGUUACCAAGUACGAGAUCAUACCAUUUGUGCCGCCUGUUAAAUAUGUUGUGCUUCGAUAGUAAUCCGUGAAGUAGUUCACCAUUUCUCUUAAACGGAGGUUUUUCCUAUUGUGUGGGUUCGUUCACCGAGAGGAGUGGUAUACUAGUGUUGCUCUCUCCUGGAGAAGUCGGUGUACUCUAUCUCGAUGUGUCCCCGUAUCACCGUGAUUCGUUUCAACUUGGAGUGUAUUCGUUUCACCAACACAACUAACUGUUUUGUUCGGAAAAGGAACCUGUUGAACCGCUAAGUAAACCACACUCACCAGUGCACCUUCGUAUACAAAAGUUGCAAAAAGACAGCCUACGAGAAAGCUCUCUUAGUAGGUUCCUCUAGUUUUUGCGUGAUGAAGAAGUGAUGUGAUCCACUAAUAAAAGAACUUUUAACCUUUAGACUUCUUCCUUCCUCCCUUUACUUCUCUUUUUGUGAAUCUUCGAAGUUACCUCGACCCUUUCGUAACGGAGAUGUGCUUUCACUAGCAUAGAAGAAAGGCAGUCAUGUACUACUCGUGACCAAGAACAAGCAACAACUGUAAUAUCGUUCUUUCAAACAGAAGGAUCUAAGUAUACUUCCCUUGUGUGGUAAGGUGUAGCCCUAGUCUCUAAACUACUAUUUGUUAAAGUAUUUUUGUACCCUUCUAAGAUUAGACUCUCCUUACUCAAAGUCUUUCAAACCACAUCUCAUGGGUUUGUACGGUUUCGUUUAGCCUUCGCUGUCAAGUGUUACUUGCUGCAUCGUUUGCGUUCCCAGUCUAAACGACAACUGUAAGAUAAAUCAUAAGUGUUGUGUCUCCUAGUUCCGUUUUGUGAGCAGUUCUUGAAGCGUACCAUUUAACUUCCAGUUCGUCCGGUUGGUUGACGUUGUAAGAGACAUUACCUACCUCCUUAUGAUGUUAUUUCCUGAAAUCGUUCUACUAGUUUUUGUUAGUGUUUUCAAUUUGUUGUAGUGUUUCACAGGCCACAUGUACCUCCUUGCUAUACAAAAAAGAAAAAGUAAACUUUCGUUUAGGUUCAACAUAUCGUCACAGCAUCUUUGACCAGUAAUUGGUCUUUUGUUAAACCUUACAGGGC